CGGAGAAUAUUCCGCUUUCCAUCAUGGACGUCAUUCAUCAAAAGUCGUACCUAGAGUUUCCUGAUGAUGAGUAUGGUAACACCGUGUUCUGGGAUAAACUUCAUGAGGCUCUUUUCUAGUUUUCUAUCAAAGACGCCUUCUGAACUUUUUCAGUGAAAAUAAAUCUAAUGAAGUUUGCAAUAUUUCCGCUCUACAGACAGUUUAAACCCACAAUAUUAUCAAUGCAUUGAUUUUAUAUUGUGUCUACUGUAAAUACUAAAUAAUAAAAAGUCGUAUUGAUUGAUAAGUAUGGCAAUUCUGUGUUCUAGGAUAAAUACGGGAGACUCGAUCUUCUGUUGCUUUUAUUUAAAAUCUAUUUAACGUAUAUGUAAUAAUUGAGUAAUGUUAUGAAUUACAACUGCAAUAAAAAUUAUCUAUAAAUAAAAUUCGUAAAAUGUU
rnacentral:misc_RNA from 1 species